AGAGAUUUAGGCUAAAAUAGACCAAGGACCUUCAAAGCCCUAA
rnacentral:tRNA from 1 species